UUCCCAAGCUGCCAGGCAGACUGAAACCAUAAUGGCCAAGUGGGGGAUAGGGCGCUGUGAGUGGUGGGUCCCGUUCCAUGGGGAGAGGCCACUGGCAGCCCACCAUGACCCAAGCUUGAGCCAUCGUUGGGGAGAUGCAAGUAAGCUCCACGUCCCAACACCAGCAGCUUGCAGGCCCUGGGCCCUGGCUGAGAUACAACCAGGACAGGAGCUCUGUGGGGGCAAAGUGGCCCCUCCCUGUCUUCAGAGCCUGUUCCCACACCGCAGCCUUGUCCUCAGAGCCACUGAGUAAGAAAGCUGGACACAGAUCAGUGUCCUCGUUUGACACUGGAAGAAAAGGAGGUUCUGAGCUGGGAGGCAAACUGCUUGAGGUCACAGACUUGGUGGGGAUAAGAUCCUCAAGUUCAUGGCCUUCUCUGCACCACAGCGCCAGAUCCAUGGGGCUCAGCUGGGAGAAGGGCAACGAGCUGCCUCUGCAAACACUUUGGCCCCAGUGUGACUGUGGUUAAGCUUGUACACAGCCUGCACUCUUUGAGGAGGAAGCCUCAGGCAGCACCCCAAGGAGAACACCUGCUCUGUCCUGGCUGCCAUGAACUGUGGCCCCACCAUGCCACCCUGCCUUGAAGCCAACUGAGAAUGGAUUGAAAUCUCCAAGAACUGUAAGAAAUAAACCUUUCCUUCCCCAA